UACGUAGGGUGCAAGCGUUAAUCGGAAUUACUGGGCGUAAAGCGUGCGCAGGCGGUUAUAUAAGACAGUUGUGAAAUCCCCGGGCUCAACCUGGGAACUGCAUCUGUGACUGUAUAGCUAGAGUACGGUAGAGGGGAUGGAAUUCCACGUGUAGCAGUGAAAUGCGUAGAGAUGUGGAGGAACACCGAUGGCGAAGGCAGCCCCCUGGGCCAAUACUGACGCUCAUGCACGAAAGCGUGGGGAGCGAAACAGG
rnacentral:rRNA from 1 species